GGAGACAUUGCUGCAGUUUCAUCUUCUCCUUCAUCGUUCCCUGAUUCGAUGGUCAUGGCUUCUGAUUCUCUCAUGGUGCAAGAAUCAUUCGUGAAGGUUGAAGAUGAGGAUUCUGUCUUGCAUCCUCCAGUUCCUCUUUCCUCUGCGUGCUUUGAUUCUACCAUAGAUGAAACGAUUUCUGAGAAGAUUCUUGAUCAUUUGCCUGUUUCUUUCUUCGCCGAUCGAGAAAUCAAGAUUCCGGAGUGGAAACCGGUGAUUGAGCCGUUCGUUUUUGGCACUAUCAGCAAGGGUUACUUCGUUUCUUCUUCGCUGCUGGAUUCAUCAUCAGGCCCAGAUUCAUCUUCGUCUUCGGUGUCCUAUGAAUCGUCUUGUUCGUGUUCGUCGUUGAGUAGUUUGGUGAG
rnacentral:lncRNA from 1 species